rnacentral:rRNA from 1 species
ACGGAAGGCAGCAGUGGGGGAUAUUGCACAAUGGGGGAAACCCUGAUGCAGCAACGCCGCGUGAGUGAAGAAGUAUUUCGGUAUGUAAAGCUCUAUCAGCAGGGAAGAAAAUGACGGUACCUGACUAAGAAGCCCCGGCUAACUACGUGCCAGCAGCCGCGGUAAUACGUAGGGGGCAAGCGUUAUCCGGAUUUACUGGGUGUAAAGGGUGCGUAGACGGCAUAGUAAGUCAGAAGUGAAAUCCCGGGGCUUAACCCCGGUGCUGCUUUUGAAACUAUUAAGCUCGAGUGCUGGAGGGGCAAGCGGAAUUCCUGGUGUAGCGGUGAAAUGCGUAGAUAUCAGGAGUAACACCGGUGGCGAAGGCGGCUUGCUGGACAGUAACUGACGUUGAGGCACGAAAGCGUUGGGAGCAAACAGGAUUAGAUACCCUGGUA